rnacentral:rRNA from 1 species
AUUGAACGCUGGCGGCGUGCUUAACACAUGCAAGUCGAACGAAGUGGCGAACGGGUGAGUAACGCGUAAUCAACUUGCCCUUCAGGGGGGGACAAUAGUUGGAAACGACUGCUAAAACCGCAUACUGAAGGAGGGGAUUGGGUCUGAUUAGCUAGUUGGAGGGGUAACGGCUCACCAAGGCGAGGAUCAGUAGCCGGUCUGAGAGGAUGAACGGCCACAUUGGGACUGAGACACGGCCCAGACUCCUACGGGAGGCAGCAGUGGGGAAUCUUUCGCAAUGGACGAAAGUCUGACGGAGCAACGCCGCGUGAGUGAUGACGGCCUUCGGGUUGUAAAGUUCUGUUAGUCGGGACGCGGUACCGGAAUAGAAGGCCACGGCUAACUACGUGCCAGCGGCCGCGGUAAUC